rnacentral:lncRNA from 1 species
CUGCUAUACUCUAGGGCAACAAGCUCAAGCCCAAAUCCUGGUAACAUUCUCCAUCCCAAGGCAACAUACACAAAAUCUCCAUCCCAACAAAACACACAUACGAAAUCUCUUGCAAAAUGCUAACAUUAAAAGCUAGUUUUGAAACCUCAGCAGUUAAUUGAUCACCCCCAGGCCCACUCUCCUACUCCCGGAGGUUUGCACAACAAGGGGGGGGGGGCACCUUGGUCCAUCAGGCGGGGGUGUUUACAGCCAAGGGCCAAUAGAUAGCAGAGUGGCUGCAAGAACAAACAAAACACAGAGACACAAGAGGUGCGUGGCUUCUUGACCCUCCCCGCCCUUCCCCCGUUAGCACACAACACACAACACUGCACAGUACAACACACACCCAUCCCAGCCACGCAAGUCACCUUUUGGCUGUCAGUAGGAAGCGACAGCCCUGGACAGCAGCGAGAGUUGGCGAUUAGUCUUCUCGGACUUGGGAAAUGUGCCUCCUGCUUCACUUGA